AAGAGUUUGAGAAAACUCCAUAAACCCAUUGUGGACUUACUGUUUCGUUGCUUCGGCAGGCGGCCCCAGGGCGGGGCCACCGCCUGUGCUGUGCACAGGAGCUUGCCGAAGGUGAUUUUAAAACUCAUGUUAUACUGUCGUCUGAGUUUGCAAAAGCAAAUUGUCA
rnacentral:misc_RNA from 1 species